rnacentral:rRNA from 1 species
UGUUCCUACGGGGGGCAGCAGUGAGGAAUAUUGGUCAAUGGUCGGGAGACUGAACCAGCCAAGCCGCGUGAGGGAUGAAGGUACAGAGUAUCGUAAACCUCUUUUGUCAGGGGACAAAGGCGGGGACGUGUCCCCGGAUGAGUGUACCUGAAGAAAAAGCAUCGGCUAACUCCGUGCCAGCAGCCGCGGUAAUACGUAGGGGGCGAGCGUUGUCCGGAAUCACUGGGCGUAAAGGGCGCGUAGGCGGUUUAAUAAGUCAGUGGUGAAAACUGAGGGCUCAACCCUCAGCCUGCCACUGAUACUGU